GACGAACGCUGGCGGCGUGCCUAAUACAUGCAAGUCGAACGCUUUUUCUUUCACCGGAGCUUGCUCCACCGAAAGAAAAAGAGUGGCGAACGGGUGAGUAACACGUGGGUAACCUGCCCAUCAGAAGGGGAUAACACUUGGAAACAGGUGCUAAUACCGUAUAACACUAUUUUCCGCAUGGAAGAAAGUUGAAAGGCGCUUUUGCGUCACUGAUGGAUGGACCCGCGGUGCAUUAGCUAGUUGGUGAGGUAACGGCUCACCAAGGCAACGAUGAAUAGCAGGCCUGAGAGGGGGAUCGGCCACACUGGGACUGAGACACGGCCCAGACUCAUACGGGAGGCAGCAGUAGGGAAUCUUCGGCAAUGGACGAAAGACUGACCGAGCAACGCCGCGUGAGUGAAGAAGGUUUUCGGAUCGCAAAACUCUGUUGUUAGAGAAGAACAAGGAUGAGAGUAGAACGUUCAUCCCUUGACGGUAUCUAACCAGAAAGCCACGGCUAACUACGUGCCAGCCGCCGCGGUAA
rnacentral:rRNA from 1 species